GCCGUCACGUAAGCGUGACGUAACCAUAUGCACAGUGUAGAAGCAAUAAUGAUAUAGAGAAAUACGGGUAAAUAAAAGCCAACUACUAGCAGUACUAGUUAAGAUAAGGUGCUAGAAUGAGAUUAAGUGUGAAAUACACAACCAGAGCAUAAAUAUCCUAGAUGCAGUCAAGCAGGACAAGCACUAAUUAUACAACAUCUAAAGGUGAUCCUACAUUAAUGAUGUUUUGUCA
rnacentral:lncRNA from 1 species